UACAGAGGAUGCAAGCGUUAUCCGGAAUUAUUGGGCGUAAAGCGUCUGUAGGUGGCUUUUUAAGUCCGCCGUCAAAUCCCAGGGCUCAACUCUGGACAGGCGGUGGAAACUACCAAGCUGGAGUACGGUAGGGGCAGAGGGAAUUUCCGGUGGAGCGGUGAAAUGCGUAGAGAUCGGGAGGAACACCGGUGGCGAAGGCGGUUCUCUGGGCCUUACCUGACGCUGAGGAGCGAAAGCGUGGGGAGCGAACAGG
rnacentral:rRNA from 1 species